ACCGGUCUUCGGUCAAGGGUAUACGAGUAGCUGCGCUCCCCUGCUAGAACCUCCAAACAAGCUCUCAAGACUAGAUUUCUAAGAGAUAAUAAUAAAAC
rnacentral:sRNA from 1 species